AUUGAACGCUGGCGGCAUGCCUUACACAUGCAAGUCGAACGGUAACGGGUCCUUCGGGAUGCCGACGAGUGGCGAACGGGUGAGUAAUAUAUCGGAACGUGCCCAGUAGUGGGGGAUAACUGCUCGAAAGAGCAGCUAAUACCGCAUACGACCUGAGGGUGAAAGGGGGGGAUCGCAAGACCUCUCGCUAUUGGAGCGGCCGAUAUCAGAUUAGCUAGUUGGUGGGGUAAAGGCCUACCAAGGCAACGAUCUGUAGUUGGUCUGAGAGGACGACCAGCCACACUGGGACUGAGACACGGCCCAGACUCCUGCGGGAGGCAGCAGUGGGGGAUUUUGGACAAUGGGCGCAAGCCUGAUCCAGCAAUGCCGCGUGCAGGAUGAAGGCCUUCGGGUUGUAAACUGCUUUUGUACGGAACGAAAAGCCCCGGGUUAAUACCCUGGGGUCAUGACGGUACCGUAAGAAUAAGCACCGGCUAACUACGUGCCAGCCGCCGCCGUAA
rnacentral:rRNA from 1 species